rnacentral:lncRNA from 1 species
GAGACCCCACAUCUCCACUUGGAGCAUUAGUGGAAGUUGGAGUUGAUUAAAGAAUCAACAAAGACAAGUGAGUGAACUUGCAUUAAAAUAUUUUGGGAUAAAUGCAUAAGUGUUUGAUUGAAUCACCUGAAAUAUUUUAUUGGUCUUUUCUUUAAAAUAUGCAUGGGAACAAGUUUUUGAUGAAACAUUUUUAUGUUGUGAAAUGUGGAAUGUGAUGAAUUCAUGUGUUCCUAUAUUAUGAUGAUAUGUAUGUUAUGCCUUAGAUGAUAAUGUUGUGUGUUAAUUACAACCGAGCUUGUGCGGUGUGGGAGUGCACAUGUCGGUGAUGAUGUGGUGUGGGAGUGUACAUGAUGAUAUUGGCCAUGUGCAGUGUGGGAAUGCACAUGACAGUAUUAGCUAUGUGCAGUGUGGGAGUGCACAUGAUGACCUAGCUAUGUGUAGCUAUGUGCGGUGUGGGAGUGCACAUGAGCUGGUGAGCCGGUAGUUGUAUACAUGUUUACACAUACCAUAAAAAGGUUAGGAAAAAUAUUAUGUGAAUGCAUUGAAUGUUGAAUGUUGAAAUUGUUAAAUGCUUCCAAAUUUAUUUUCAUUGUAGCAAGAAUGGAUUUUCGUUGUAACAAGAAUUCUUCUAAUUUAAUAGCCCUAGUUUUUGCUGCAGUGAGAAACUCUUGGGUGCUUGGGGGCUUGACCUAGCCUUGGUUUUCGCUACAGCAAGAAACUUUCAGGUAGUUCCUACCCAGAAUUUCGAUGCAGGAAAAUUGUAUUCUCACUGCGGCGAGAAACUCUCUACCUUACUUGAAUAUUUGCUAUAGUUUCCACUCUUUAACUUCAUUGUUGGUUAUGGACCUUUCAACACUAAGGGAUUAAGUAAUCAAGGGUUGAAUUAAGGGGUUUUAACAAGAAAUUAAGGUAAAGUAUAUUGUUUUUAACAUAAGUGCAUCAUGCUUUCUAAAACUUUCCUUAUCGUUUGCUUGUUCCAUUCUUAUGUUCACGCACUGGGUUUAUACUCACUUUUUUCAACUUCAUGUUUUCGGAUUCAGAGGCAGUUGGGAUCUAGAUUGAGGUGUUCAUGUAUAUUCGUCUUUUUGGUAG